AUGCACUGCAGAGGAAGUGAUGUUGGUGAUGCUGAGUUGGCAAUAGGCAACCAGCACACAAGGCAUGUGCUAGAAGCUAUCCUGAGUUGUGGAGGGAUGCUGCACAUACUCAGAAAAGAGCAAAUCUCUGCCUUAAACAGACUCUUUGGUGGAGGGGAAUUUCAUUAGCAUGUGCCCUGAUCUUGUCCUCCAAGCCCUCAUUGCUUCAGACAAACAUGGAUUUAAUUGAGAGAAAACCAAGCUGUGACUAUGAUUCAGGUGGGAAGGCUGUUUCUCUGAACAAAUUAAAUCUAGUGGAAUGACUGAGUGUUCUUUUCUAUACCCUUCUGAUAGAUUUAAUACUGCAUAUUAAUUGUUGUUCUCCAAUCCUCGAUUCGGUGAUUGUUUUCCCCAGGAUCCUGUUGAGGGUGAUUGAUGUUCAGAUAAAUUUUUUGUUAUCAUAUAGAGAAAGAAAGAUUAACAUGUGCUAGUAAGAACACCAGGUUACAAGACUUUCGAUUAGCUUAAAUAUGAACACAAUAUUAACACAUGGUUCCACAGAUUUAAAAAGCAACAGUCUGGUCAAUACAACACAAAACUGACAAUCAGGGAAAAAAAACACUUGGGUUCUUAGGACUCCUUUCUAAUAUCUUCCUUUGGUAACACACAAACAGAUGAUCUGGUUAGUUUACCAGUUAACCCAGUUGGAAAGAUGCUUUUAUCAUGUUCACAGAUAUUCAAAAAGAACUGAAGAGCUUUUAUCAUGUUCAUAGAUACUCGAAAAUAACUGAAGAGAAUACACAAGUUUUGAAGUGUCUGCACACACUGCAGCCUCACACUUGUGUUGGACUGCAAAGUUCUAUAAGACAGGGCUAGGGCACAUCUUGCAUUAACCAGAGACUUAACACAUGUUUCUUGAAAUUGAAUUUCACUGUGAUAUUUAAGUUCCUUUAGUUUGAGCACAAAGAUAUCAAUUUGUAAGCCAUUCUUUAUUUUCCUUUCUCCUUGUUUUUUAACUAUUUUCCUUAUUAUUGAGCACUUUUUUUAGCUUUUAUUUAAUAAAUAUUAAUUUCCAAAGUACA
rnacentral:lncRNA from 1 species